rnacentral:rRNA from 1 species
UACAGAGGGUGCGAGCGUUGUCCGGAAUCACUGGGCGUAAAGGGCGCGUAGGCGGCUUGGUAAGCGUGCGGUGAGAGCCCGGGGCUCAACCCCGGGUCGGCCGUGCGAACUGCUGGGCUGGAGCACUGUAGAGGCAGGUGGAAUUCCGGGUGUAGCGGUGGAAUGCGUAGAGAUCCGGAAGAACACCGGUGGCGAAGGCGGCCUGCUGGGCAGUAGCUGACGCUGAGGCGCGACAGCGUGGGGAGCAAACAGG